AUCUUCAUUUUGUGUCCGUGUUCCUUGAAGUAAGAUGAGUUCGUUGGCACGUCGUAGAUGAAAGAUGAAAACUUGUUAAUAGGAAAAACAAAGAUGAUCCUCUCGUCUCCAGCAGCUCAUUUUCCUUAUAGUUUUGAACUCAGGGUCGUCAGCUCAGUAACCGAUGCUCACCUAUUUAGGGAUUAUUGUGCCCAGAAUUUGGUGAGUUUAACAAAGAGGUCGUUCCCUCUUUUCCAAUUUGAAUGAAAGAAAUCCUGAUGAACAUCUAGGUGUGAGGUCGUCCUCCGGCCAGGGCUGAAGGUCCUCAGUCACCCCAGGUUGUGGUCCUUUGUUAUCCAAUGAGGUCAUCAGCUGGUCGGCAUACUGGAACAGAGUCUGUCACCUAUCUAGAGCUCCUUAAUGUAUUUUAA